rnacentral:lncRNA from 1 species
CCCAGGGUGUUUGCUUCUCUUGGCCAAGGUCAGAUAGUUAAAAGUUAAUAGAUUGGAGACUUGAAUAGUACUGCAAAGCCAGUGCUCUCAACCUUUAUCCAGAAGCACAAAAUCAGAUGCAAACUGAAACCAGAGAGGUACACAGAAUUAAUGGAUCCAGCUGGGGGCAAUAAAGGAAGGGUUAUAAAACUGGAAAGCAGAUGCCCCAUCUAAAGGUACAGUUCCUGUUUGGCUCCAACUGAUCAAUCAUUUCCAUGAAGAAUAGGCACGUUGCAGAGCCAUGUCUUUGAUUUUCAACGAGAAGCAGAAAUCCUGCAUUGUUCAUACAAAUUUCCUGAUUUUUAAGUGCAGGCUACAAGUCCAUCACAACAGUCCUGGUUUUCAAGCCGACCUCGUAGACCUCAGGGCUAUGGCCGGUGCUCUUCUCUAAGUCCUCUUGAUAGAUCACAGCAGUGGCUCAGCCCAUCUGUAAAAGCCAUCGAAGAUCUUCCCAUCUAUUUCAGAGGCUGGGAACAUGAUGCAAGCCCUCCAGUGAGUGACAGCGAAGGUGACCCAUCCAUCUUCGAUUGCCUGGAACUUUCCUGAUUUCAAAAGGGUAAGUCUUAUGCUCUGGGAAUCUGCAGUCCCAGGCAAAGUGUGACAACUGGUCACCUCUUUAUAGCAGGGAAUGGGCUUCUGGCAUCUGCAAAGCUCUGGAAGGUCAACCAACCAGACCUUCAGAAUGUGUCCUUUCAGGGGAAUUUUGCUAUCCUUAGAGGUGCUAAUUUGCUAAAGCGUCUGUGUCUCCACUUCAAAAAUUAAACUGCCUCAGAUGCCAGGGAGCGACGUUCCCUAGGACAGCCCCCAAAAGCAAGUUUCCUAGAAACUCUCUGCAAUGGGGCGAGAAGGGCACCGGAAGAGCAGCGGACGUCCUGGAGAAAGCUGCUGGUGGUGAUUCGGCAGAGAAUCCUAAUUCGAAUCCAGUGGGAGCUCGCCAUUAUCGGGGCGCACACGGCUCCAGAUGUGAGGCUGCCCCUUACUGCUCGGAAGUGAAUGUGAUGGCUGGAGCCCCAACAGCCAUCUUUGCCAAUGAGGACAAGAGCCAUAUUAGAGCGAGUCCUGCUGGUGGCGCGAUUAGGACCUGACUACUGCUUGGGUUUGGAAGAUGCAGGCAAACAUAGAG